CAGUCGCCGCGGGAAUACGUAGGGUGCAAGCGUUAAUCGGAAUUACUGGGCGUAAAGCGUGCGCAGGCGGUUAUAUAAGACAGAUGUGAAAUCCCCGGGCUCAACCUGGGAACUGCAUUUGUGACUGUAUAGCUAGAGUACGGAAGAGGGGGAUGGAAUUCCGCGUGUAGCAGUGAAAUGCGUAGAUAUGCGGAGGAACACCGAUGGCGAAGGCAAUCCCCUGGGCCUGUACUGACGCUCAUGCGCGAAAGCGUGGGGAGCAAACAGGAUUAGAUACCCGUGUAGUCCCUGUCUCUUAUAA
rnacentral:rRNA from 1 species